rnacentral:rRNA from 1 species
CAACGCCGCGUGAGUGAAGAAGGUUUUCGGAUCGUAAAGCUCUGUUGUAAGAGAAAAACGAGUGUGAGAGUGGAAAGUUCACACUGUGACGGUAUCUUACCAGAAAGGGACGGCUAACUACGUGCCAGCAGCCGCGGUAAUACGUAGGUCCCGAGCGUUAUCCGGAUUUAUUGGGCGUAAAGCGAGCGCAGGCGGUUAGAUAAGUCUGAAGUUAAAGGCUGUGGCUUAACCAUAGUACGCUUUGGAAACUGUUUAACUUGAGUGCAAGAGGGGAGAGUGGAAUUCCAUGUGUAGCGGUGAAAUGCGUAGAUAUAUGGAGGAACACCGGUGGCGAAAGCGGCUCUCUGGCUUGUAACUGACGCUGAGGCUCGAAAGCGUGGGGAGCAAACAGGAUUAGAUACCCUGGUAGUCCACGCCGUAAACGAUGAGUGCUAGGUGUUGGGUCCUUUCCGGGACUCAGUGCCGCAGCUAACGCAUUAAGCACUCCGCCUGGGGAGUACGACCGCAAGGUUGAAACUCAAAGGAAUUGACGGGGGCCCGCACAAG